rnacentral:tRNA from 1 species
AAAAAAAUAUCCGAUCAAAAGCUUCUAACUUUUACUAAAGCAUAUAAAAUGUUUAU